UGGAGGAAAGCAGGGGAUCGUAAGACCUUGCGCUUUUGGAGUGGCCGAUGCCUGAUUAGCUAGUUGGUAGGGUAAUGGCUUACCAAGGCGACGAUCAGUAGUUGGUCUGAGAGGACGACCAGCCACACUGGGACUGAGACACGGCCCAGACUCCUACGGGAGGCAGCAGUGGGGAAUUUUGGACAAUGGGCGAAAGCCUGAUCCAGCAAUGCCGCGUGAGUGAAGAAGGCCUUCGGGUUGUAAAGCUCUUUCAGUCGAGAAGAAAAGGUUGUGACUAAUAAUCACAACUCAUGACGGUAUCGACAGAAGAAGCACCGGCUAACUACGUGCCAGCAGCCGCGGUAAUACGUAGGGUGCGAGCGUUAAUCGGAAUUACUGGGCGUAAAGGGUGCGCAGGCGGCUUUGUAAGCCAGAUGUGA
rnacentral:rRNA from 1 species